AAUAAAUCAAUUUUUUACUUUUUACCUAUGAUUUUUUACUCUUCGUCUUAUUUAAUUUUUUUGUAAUUGAUAUUUUUGUUUUUAUUAGAUGAUAAAUCAUGAAUAGUAUUUUACGUGUGACUAAUUUUUUUAAUUUCCUGAAAAUUUUUUAAAUAAGACGAAUGGUCAAAUGUUGGACACAGAAACCGGAG
rnacentral:pre_miRNA from 1 species